CCUACGGGGGGCAGCAGUGGGGAAUAUUGGGCAAUGGAGGAAACUCUGACCCAGCAACGCCGCGUGAAUGAUGAAGGUCUUCGGAUUGUAAAGUUCUUUUCUAAGGGAAGAAGAAAGUGACGGUACCUUAGGAAUAAGCCUCUGCUAACUACGUGCCAGCAGCCGCGGUACUACGUAGGGGGCGAGCGUUAUCCGGAAUGACUGGGCGUAAAGGGGGCGUAGGUGGUAUGGCAAGUUAGUAGCGAAACUCCAAGGCUCAACCUUGGAACUACUACUAAAACUGUUGGACUUGAGUGCAGGAGGGGUAAGCGGAAUUCCUAGUGUAGCGGUGGAAUGCGUAGAUAUUAGGAGGAACACCAGUGGCGAAGGCGGGUUGCUAGACUGUAACUGACACUGAGGCACGAAAGCGUGGGGAGCAAACAGGAUUAGAUACCCUUGUAGUC
rnacentral:rRNA from 1 species